CCGGUGAGAAUGCCCUUAAAAACUAUAUAAAGUUAAAAGGAGCUGGUAUCAGGCACACCCCCUGGGUAGCCCAUUACACCUUGCUUAACCACACCCCCACGGGAUACAGCAGUGACUAACAUUAAGCUAUAAACGAAAGUUUGACUGAGUCAUAAUUAAGCAGGGUUGGUAAAUUUCGUGCCAGCCACCGCGGUCAUACGAUUAACCCAAAUUAACAGACCACCGGCGUAAAGCGUGUUUAAGUAUAAUAUUCUAAUAAAGUUAAAACCUAACUAAACUGUAAAACGUUAUAGUUAAUAUCAAAAUAUGCAACUAAAGUGACUUUAAUCUACACUGAACACACGAUAGCUAAGACACAAACUGGGAUUAGAUACCCCACUAUGCUUAGCCCUAAACCCAAAUAGUUAAAAAACAAAACUAUUCGCCAGGGAACUACUAGCUAAUGCUUAAAACUCAAAGGACUUGGCGGUGCCCUAAACCCACCUAGAGGAGCCUGUUCUAUAAUCGAUAAACCCCGAUAAACCCCACCUCUUCUUGCCAAUACAGCCUAUAUACCGCCAUCGUCAGCUCACCCCAAUAGGGACCCAAAGUAGGCAAAACUAUAAAACCAUAAAAACGUUAGGUCAAGGUGUAGCAUAUGAAGAGGGAAGCAAUGGGCUACAUUUUCUAAACUAGAACAUAACGAAUGGCCUUAUGAAAUCUAAGACCUGAAGGAGGAUUUAGUAGUAAAUUAGGAGCAGAGAGCCUAAUU
rnacentral:rRNA from 1 species